rnacentral:tRNA from 1 species
CAGGCCGUAGCUUAGAUGGCUAAAGCGCCGGGCUGGGGGUCCGGAGAUCGGAGGUUCGAGUCCUCUCGGCCUGA